GCGGCCUAUCAGCUUGUUGGCGGGGUAAUGGCCCACCAAGGCAACGACGGGUAGCUGGUCUGAGAGGAUGGUCAGCCACACUGGGACUGAGACACGGCCCAGACUCCUACGGGAGGCAGCAGUGGGGAAUCUUGCGCAAUGGGCGAAAGCCUGACGCAGCAACGCCGCGUGCGGGAAGAAGGCUUUCGGGCUGUAAACCGCUUUCAGCAGGAACGAAAAUGACGGUACCUGCAGAAGAAGGAGCGGCCAACUAUGUGUCAGCAGCCGCGGUGAUACAUAGGCUUCAAGCGUUGUCCGGAUUUAUUGGGCGUAAAGAGUUCGUAGGCGGUCAAGUAAGUCGGGUGUGAAAAUUCUGGGCUUAACCCAGAGGCGCCACCCGAUACUGCUUAACUUGAGUUCGAUAGGGGAGACUGGAAUUCCU
rnacentral:rRNA from 1 species